UGGGGAAUAUUGCACAAUGGGCGAAAGCCUGAUGCAGCGACGCCGCGUGAGGGAUGACGGCCUUCGGGUUGUAAACCUCUUUCAGUAGGGACGAAGCGCAAGUGACGGUACCUGCAGAAGAAGCACCGGCUAACUACGUGCCAGCAGCCGCGGUAAUACGUAGGGUGCGAGCGUUGUCCGGAAUUACUGGGCGUAAAGAGCUCGUAGGCGGUUUGUCACGUCGUCUGUGAAAUCCUAGGGCUUAACCCUGGACGUGCAGGCGAUACGGGCUGACUUGAGUACUACAGGGGAGACUGGAAUUUCUGGUGUAGCGGUGGAAUGCACAGAUAUCAGGAAGAACACCAAUGGCGAAGGCAGGUCUCUGGGUAGUAACUGACGCUGAGGAGCGAAAGCAUGGGUAGCGAACAGG
rnacentral:rRNA from 1 species